AACGAACGCUGGCGGCAUGCCUAACACAUGCAAGUCGAACGAACCCUUCGGGGUUAGUGGCGCACGGGUUUGUAACGCGUGGGAAGCUGCACUUUGCUUCGGAAUAACUCAGGGAAACUUGUGCUAAUACCGGAUGAUGUCUUCGAACGAAAGAUUUAUCGGCACGGGAUGAGCACGCGUAGAAUUAGGUAGUUGGUAGGGUAAAGGCAUCCCAAGCCGUGGAUCCUUAGCUGGUCUGUGAGGAGGGUUAGCCACACUUGGACUGAGACACGGCCCAGAAUCUUACGGGAGGGACGAGUGGCUAAUAUUGCAACACGGCCGCAAGGAUGAUCGAGCACUGACGGUAGAGCUCUGAAAGUAGUGGGGUCGUAAAGCUUUUUUAACAGGGAUGAUAAUGACAGUACCUGGACAAUAAGCUCCGGCUAACUACGUG
rnacentral:rRNA from 1 species